GUCGCAAGACCAAAGUGGGGGACCUUCGGGCCUCAUGCCAUCAGAUGUGCCCAGAUGGGAUUAGCUAGUAGGUGGGGUAACGGCUCACCUAGGCGACGAUCCCUAGCUGGUCUGAGAGGAUGACCAGCCACACUGGAACUGAGACACGGUCCAGACUCCUACGGGAGGCAGCAGUGGGGAAUAUUGCACAAUGGGCGCAAGCCUGAUGCAGCCAUGCCGCGUGUGUGAAGAAGGCCUUCGGGUUGUAAAGCACUUUCAGCGGGGAGGAAGGCGUUAAGGUUAAUAACCUUGGCGAUUGACGUUACCCGCAGAAGAAGCACCGGCUAACUCCGUGCCAGCAGCCGCGGUAAUACGGAGGGUGCAAGCGUUAAUCGGAAUUACUGGGCGUAAAGCGCACGCAGGCGGUCUGUCAAGUCGGAUGUGAAAUCCCCGGGCUCAACCUGGGAACUGCAUUCGAAACUGGCAGGCUAGAGUCUUGUAGAGGGGGGUAGAAUUCCAGGUGUAGCGGUCAACUGCGUAGAGA
rnacentral:rRNA from 1 species